CGUAAGCAGCUUCUAAAAGAAAGAGAACAAAAGUUAAACCCUUUCUUUAGCAGCGACAUGGUACGUGAAGGCAAGGAGUUUACAACUAUGUAUCAUGUGCUACACAGGCCCCGGGAACACUGGGUACUAAAUAUAGCAUCUGUGGUGGUGACUGGUCCUGCCUUAUGUCUGACAAACUAACAAGGCAACUGUGGAUUUAUUAAGGUAGCAGCCAGUAAAUGCUAACCUGAGACACUGGCAUUCUACUGUGUGUAAGACUUUCAUAAAUCACAGGAGACCAAUUAUAACCAUGAACAACAAAACAUCAAAAGAAGGAGGAGAAAUAAAUAUUGCAUACAAUAUAUGGGGACUUGAUAAUUAACCUUUAAAUAUAUGUUCUAAAUCUUGAAAAAAAUCAGAACGGCUGGUGUAAUGAUAAAUGCCGACAGCGUAUACUGCUGUUGACAUUUAUCGAUGUGUGACGGACAUGGUUCACUAUAGCGGAUCAUGUCCGUCCGCACAAUGAUAAAUGGACCCCCAUGUCAAGUGCACAAGUCCUGAAGUUUACGCUGCAAAGAACAAUAAAACAGUCUUCAUUGGCAAUAA